rnacentral:rRNA from 1 species
AGGACGAACGCUGGCGGCGUGCUUAACACAUGCAAGUCGAGCGGUAAGGCUCCUUCGGGAGUACACGAGCGGCGAACGGGUGAGUAACACGUGAGCAAUCUGCCCUUCACAUCGGGAUAACUUCCGGAAACGGAAGCUAAUACCGAAUACGACCACCGGUGGCAUCUCCUGGUGGUGGAAAGUUCCGGCGGUGAAGGAUGAGCUCGCGGCCUAUCAGCUUGUUGGUGAGGUAAUGGCCCACCAAGGCGACGACGGGUA